rnacentral:rRNA from 1 species
AGAGUUUGAUUAUGGCUCAGGAUGAACGCUGGCGGCGUGCCUAACACAUGCAAGUCGAACGGAGUUAUUCGAGGAAGUUUUCGGAUGGAAUCAAAUGACUUAGUGGCGGACGGGUGAGUAACGCGUGGGAAACCUGCCCUGUACCGGGGGAUAACACUUAGAAAUAGGUGCUAAUACCGCAUAAGCGCACAGCUUCGCAUGGAGCAGUGUGAAAAACUCCGGUGGUACAGGAUGGUCCCGCGUCUGAUUAGCCAGUUGGCGGGGUAACGGCCCACCAAAGCGACGAUCAGUAGCCGGCCUGAGAGGGUGGACGGCCACAUUGGGACUGAGACACGGCCCAA